CAGUCGCCGCGGGAAUACGUAGGGUGCAAGCGUUAAUCGGAAUUACUGGGCGUAAAGCGUGCGCAGGCGGUUUUGUAAGACAGAGGUGAAAUCCCCGGGCUCAACCUGGGAACUGCCUUUGUGACUGCAAGGCUAGAGUACGGCAGAGGGGGAUGGAAUUCCGCGUGUAGCAGUGAAAUGCGUAGAUAUGCGGAGGAACACCGAUGGCGAAGGCAAUCCCCUGGGCCUGUACUGACGCUCAUGCACGAAAGCGUGGGGAGCAAACAGGAUUAGAUACCCCCGUAGUCCCUGUAUCUUAUAC
rnacentral:rRNA from 1 species